rfam:Oryza rufipogon genomic scaffold, chr09
AAUAAACCAUGGGUUUCCGUGUCCAACAUUUGACCGUCCGUUUUAUUUAAAAAAAUUAUAAAAAAAAUUAAAAAUAAAAGUCACGCAUAAAAGUAUUAAUCACGUUUUAUCAUCUAACAACAAUGAAAAUACAAAUUAUAAAAAAAAUUCAUAUAAGACGGACAGUCAAAUGUUGGAUACGGAAACCCAGGGUUUGUCUUAUU